AGUGAACGCUGGCGGUAGGCCUAACACAUGCAAGUCGAACGGCAGCACAGUAAGAGCUUGCUCUUACGGGUGGCGAGUGGCGGACGGGUGAGGAAUACAUCGGAAUCUACUUUUUCGUGGGGGAUAACGUAGGGAAACUUACGCUAAUACCGCAUACGACCUACGGGUGAAAGCAGGGGAUCUUCGGACCUUGCGCGAUUGAAUGAGCCGAUGUCGGAUUAGCUAGUUGGCGGGGUAAAGGCCCACCAAGGCGACGAUCCGUAGCUGGUCUGAGAGGAUGAUCAGCCACACUGGAACUGAGACACGGUCCAGACGCCUACGGGAGGCAGCAGUGGGGAAUAUUGGACAAUGGGCGCAAGCCUGAUCCAGCCAUACCGCGUGGGUGAAGAAGGCCUUCGGGUUGUAAAGCCAUUUUGUUGGGAAAGAAAAGCAGCAGGUUAAUACCCCGCUGUUCUGACGGUACCCAAAGAAGAAGCACCGGCUAACUUCGU
rnacentral:rRNA from 1 species